GCUGACUGAGGCGUUUCAGUCCUCCAGAGGACAUCCAGGUAAAGCCAGAUUUGGGAUAUGCACAACGGCUAGCUGCUCUGUAAACAGCAGUGGAUCUCUGCCGCUCCGACCUGGGCCUCAGGCGGCUCCUGUUCUUACCCAGCUUGUCAGCCCAACUCUUGUUUAAAGGUCUCCACAACGUUCUCCCAGACCUGUCUGCUAUGUUGGAGGACUUCAUGAUACUUCAUGAGGACUUCAUGAUUGUUCAGCCGACUGUGCUUCCUGGUCUUCUUGAUGAUGUUUGAUUUCUAAAAAUCUCGGUCUUCACAGAAUAACAUGAAAUGCACCAAGAUGAAACUGCACAAUGGUGGACUCAACUGGACAACUGGGUAGAGACAUACCGAAGGACUUUGUGUUAGUCUGACAUACAUUUGCAAAUAAAAGACACUGAAGAUUUGAAAGGAGACAUUUGCAGGGCGUUGUACACACCAUAGAAAUACAAUUACAAAUGAUCUACCAGAAGAAAAUAUCUCCUGGGCCUGUUGCAGAAACCAGAAUGCAAAACACCUUCACUGCCUUUCUACAACUUAAGAGGAUGAGAGGCAGGCGUGUGUUAGUCAAACAUAUAGAUUUAAUGGUUUUCAUCAGACGUGAGAUUUGCUGCUCUGGAACAGUAGAUUUUGAGGUUCAUUUUCAGAAAGUUUCUCCAGAAAUCUCCCCUCCAUCUAAACAGGGUAGAUGUCUUUCUAAAGCAAGCUGGAGAUGAGUGGUAGGAGCAGGUGGUAGAAGUUCUAGUACAGAAUGUAACAACUGUCUCUUUCUGCCAUCAGGCUGUACCGCUCCCAGAAACACAAGGCCUCAGCUGGCAUGUUAAGUGUUGAAGUUCCUCAUAAUACAAAACAAUAAAGGCCGACUAAAUACAUGAGGCGUGUUUAAAAGUCUUUUUAACAAAAACGCACAAACAAUCUAUUGUAAUGUAAUGAAUUUGCUAAUGUUGAACCCAAAUGUGAGCCAGACACGGAGCUGUAUUUUAAAAAGGGGUUUAUUAACAAAAUCCAGGUGGCAAAAAGGCUGACUCAAAAAACUGAAAGGCAACGAACAGAACAGGCACGGACUGGCAGACGGGCAGGUAAUACACAAAAAUAAUCAAAGGCUGGAAAGAGCUUACCGCAGGCUGACGAGAGGGAUAAACACAAGACGUUCCGGCAACACACAAACAACUAAGGCAGGUUUAAAUAGGAGGAUGGAACAGGUGAGCAGGGCGGGACCAAUUAACCAAAACAAGUGAAAGCAAUAGAAGGAACAUACAGACUAAUAAAGAAAAACCCUAAGAAAGUAAGACCAAGACUAAUGGAGACGAGCUGACAUAAAUAAUAACCAAGACCAGAUGACUAAAAACAGACUAAGCACAAAUCAAAAACAACACAACACAGAAAUAAAUCCUAAAACAGAAAAGUUGACUAACUGAAAAUAACUUAAACCACAACAGAACGUUACAGAGCCCCUCCCUCAAGGGCGAAUUCCAGACGCCCCUAAAUGUAUUAGAGAAAUGUAAAGAAAAGACAAAAAAGUCCGACCGGGCGGGUGGAGGGCGCUACAGGCCGGAGGGCAAGAAACUAAAAACAAAAGCCCAAAACAAGAGUCCAGAACAGAAAACAACCCUCAGAAGGGCGAACACCAAACUAACUAAAAAGCUUCAAAAACAGUCUCCUGAACAGCACAACAGUCUGGUGGACGUCCCAGAGGACGUCCCCAGCGUGACAGGUUCUCCGGCGGAUGUCCCCGGCGAGACAGGUUCUCCG